UUUCAAGGGCUUAGAAGUAUUCAAGUAUUCAAGUAUUAAUUGGAUCACUAUUGAAAAAGCAGAAUAGGAAAUCUAAUUUUCUCUCUUGUGUUUGAUGGAUUUGUCUUAUGAAAGCUUCAGAACUGUCCUUCCCAGUUCUCAUGUUAUUUCUUUCUGUGAGAUUCCGGGGCCUCCUGCUUUUCUGCGUUUACGUCAAGACCUCUACUUGUCAUUCUGUAAUAAAUAGAGAAUUUCCUGGGCUCUUUUAACUGGAUCUCCUUGUGUCUGUAUAUUGGAAUUUAUUUUCAGCAGACUGAUAUCAUAUGGAAAUGCCAGCUCAGAAGAUGUGGUGAGCUUUGAUAAUUCAGGAAUUGACUGACAGAAGGAGGACCUCAUUUGGGCAGGUGCCUGGGGAACACCCACACAUUGUCAAAGAGAAGAGUGCAGAAUCCCAGAGAGGUGGAGCGACUGGCCCAAGGUCACGAGCUCCCGAGUCCAUGCCGGCCUUGAAUCCGGGCCCUUCGGCUGCCGCUUCCCGCACAGUGCGGGCCUCAGGGCCGCCACAGAAGAGUCAGGUGCCAGCCAGUGCUGUGUGCUCUGCGCAGAUGCCUCCUUUGGCCGUGGGGGUCCGGACCUUCCCUCUGCUCCUUUACUGCUUUCUCGCCACACGGGGGCUGGAAGCGAGGAUGCCUUAAACAUUCAAGGCUGUGGAGCAGGCUCAGGCCCUCAGCAUCGUGGAGAAGGCACCGAAGCCCGCAGAAUCCCACUGUCCUGUGGCAGGGAGAAAAGACAAACGGGUCAUAAUGCUGUCUUAGAAGGAGAUCACGGAGGGCUGGAUGUGACCCUUUGCGAGGGACCGGGGACCUUGAGGAGCUGUGAGUUUCCCAGACAGGGUGACACUGGAGCCUUGGAAGGGAGCAGCCUACGGACACCAGAGCUGGGGAGCUAGAGACCCAGUGGGACCCUCAUGCCUCCUUUGGACUAUGGAGCCCAAUGCACCCCUGGGGCCUCGCCGGCCUCGCAGGGAGGUUUCACAAGGACUGUCCCCAAGCCCCUCUCCUGGUGGCCUGUGAUCACAGUCUGAGCAGCCCACGUGUCUGCCCUUCUUUGCCUCCUCCUGCGUCUCCUGCCAUCAGCUCCCAGCCCAAAACUUUCCAGAAUGGAAGUGGGCUUAGCUCAAGCGGCCUGGAGCAUGGAGCCCAUGAUGGGAGAGAAGUCACGUCAAGUCCUGUCUGUGAUGUACACACAGCUGGAUACACAGAGCAAGGCUCAGGGAGUCUGCUGCACCUGAGUUGUUCUUAGAAUCUCAGCUUCUAAAGUGAGACAUUCUCACACCCCACCCCCACAAAGUAGGGGCACUGAAGCCUCUGGGCAGAGCUGUUGAACUAAAUGAGCAAGUUCAUGUAAAACACCUGGAAGGUGGGAGGCUCUCAAUCAAUGGCAGUUGCCACUGAGACCACAGUCUCUUCAUCAGAAGGGUUGGUGGGACGGCUUUGGUGGUCCCAGCCAGCUUGGCUCUCAGUGAACCAAAAGCGUGAAAGCCUCUCUCCCUCCCUUCAGGAAGCUAACCCAGUUUUCAAAUGAAGGAAUGACUCUUCACAUUGUCAUUAAUUUUCCUGAAAAGAUUUUCUUAUAUCCAUUAGCUAUACACUAUAAAUACAUUGGGAUCUUUUGUUUUUCUAGAAAAAAAAAUCAUUUUAGCCUUGUAUUCUGGCACAUUAGAUUGUUCUUUUAUCCUUGCUUUUUAAAAAACCUUUCAAACGGCUUGCCUUCCAUGGAAGAAUAAA
rnacentral:lncRNA from 1 species